rnacentral:rRNA from 1 species
UAAAAUGUAAAUUUUAAUAUUAUUAAAUUAUUAAAAGUUAUAGUCUUAAAAGUUAAAAAAUUUGGCGGUAUUUUAGUCUUUUCAGAGGAACCUGUUCUGUAAUUGAUAAACCACGAUUAGAAUUACUUAUAUUAAGAAUUUGUAUACCGUUGUAGUUGAAUAUUUUAGUAGAAUAAUAAAUGUUCAAGAUUUUUAAUUUAAAAAUAAAUCAGAUCAAGGUGCAGUAUAUGUAUAAGAAGAAAUGGGUUACAAUAAAGAUAUUUUUGGUUUUUUAAUUUAAACAUUAAAAAUAAAUUGGAUUUGAAAGUAAUUUAGUUGAUUUUAAUUAAAUGAUUUAGGCUCUAAAAUAUGC